rnacentral:rRNA from 1 species
GACGAACGCUGGCGGCGUGCUUAACACAUGCAAGUCGAACGGAAAGGCCUUUUCGGAGGUACUCGAGUGGCGAACGGGUGAGUAACACGUGGGUGAUCUGCCCUGCACUCUGGGAUAAGCCUGGGAAACUGGGUCUAAUACCGGAUAGGACCGCACUUUAGUGUGUGUGGUGGAAAGUUUUUUCGGUGUAGGAUGAGCCCGCGGCCUAUCAGCUUGUUGGUGGGGUAAUGGCCUACCAAGGCGGCGACGGGUAGCCGGACUGAGAGGUUGGUCGGCCACAUUGGGACUGAGAUACGGCCCAGACUCCUACGGGAGGCAGCAGUGGGGGAUAUUGCACAAUGGGCGCAAGCCUGAUGCAGCGACGCCGCGUGGGGGAUGACGGCCUUCGGGUUGUAAACUCCUUUCGCCAGGGACGAAGCGUUUUGUGACGGUACCUGGAGAAGAAGCACCGGCUAACUACGUG